rfam:Mortierella elongata AG-77 unplaced genomic scaffold K457scaffold_77, whole genome shotgun sequence.
AAUGUUGUUGCAGUAGUAAUUGACCUUAGUACGAGUGGAACCGUUCAUUUGGAUAACUGGUAUUUGGGCUUGCCUGAGCGGGGAAUGGCCCGAAGCUAUCAUACGCCGGGUUAUGGCUGAGCGCCUCCAAGUCAAAACCAGUUCUAGAACGCGACAAUUACCGCUUUUUCCGGGGGAGGGUUUUGAAUACGAAUAAAUCUUCGAGCCUACGCGGUGUUUUGUUGCAGAGCAGAAGGCUUUGUAAUAUACCCGCCACUGUCAAUUUCUAGUAUCGGAAAAGAUAAAUCCAUUGCAAGCGACUUUAAUUGUAGGGGUACUGAAGGCAGUAGAGGAGCCUUGUUGCUAUGAUCCGCUGAGAUGAAGCCCACUGUUCUGUAGGUUU